UACGUAGGUGGCGAGCGUUGUCCGGAUUUACUGGGCGUAAAGAGCGCGCAGGCGGUCGUUCAAGUCGCGUGUGAAAGCCCCCGGCUCCAACUGGGGAGGGUCGUGGCGAUACGGGCGGGACUGGAGGCCAGUAGGGGGAUGCGGAAUUCCGGGUGUAGUGGUGGAAUGCGUAGAGAUCAGGAAGAACACCCGUGGCGAAGGCGGCCCACUGGGCCGGUACUGACGCUGAGGCACGAAGGCGUGGGGAGCGAACGGG
rnacentral:rRNA from 1 species